AAAAGUACAUAGAUUAUAUAUUGUAAUAGAUAACAACAAUUAACUUCAGAAGCAGCAUUGUUAGCUGUUGCACCAUACAACGCGACAUUGUUAGCUGCUGCACCAUAGCAGCUAAAAAUGUGUGACAAUCACACAUAUAUAUUGGCAUAGCGUGCAGGAAUAGGACUAGAAGCAACAAGAGGAAACAAAUAGCACAUCCUAACAAGAUUUUAUACCUUCGCCUUUGGCAUAUCAUACAUUCUCUAAUUUGCUAGCUACGACUUUUGCUUUUUCUUCGGCCUUGUUAAUAUUUUUGCUCUCAUAGUAAUCAUCUAAUGCCCACUGAUACUUCGACUGAUUCAAUCCAAACCAGUAUGCCACUUGUUCAUCCAAACUCGCAUGAGCAUUUUGAACUUUAGCAACAGCGUUCCAGAAAAACCCAAAAGAAGACUGAGAGGGUUUAUCAUACUGCAUUGGAGGAGACCAAACCGGACAUGACUUAUCGACCACCUGAACCGGUGGUGUCUGAACCGGUUGCGGCUGAAUUGGUGGUGGUAGCUCGGUAGAACCGGAUUUGGGUGUGGGUGGAGGGGUCAUGAAAACCGUGUACGGCCCGAUCUUACCGAUCCUCGGCGGAGGAGGAGAAGUACAUUCAGUGUUAGCCAUUCUCUUCAAGCAAUUUUGCUUACAAAUUUGGGAAUUGGGGUUUAAAGAAGUGAAAUCUCUAUUUUUCUAUUAUUUUG
rnacentral:misc_RNA from 1 species